GACGAACGCUGGCGGUGUGCUUCACACAUGCAAGUCGAACGAGCGACUUUUGAGUAGCAAUACGAUUAAGAAGCUAGUGGCGGACGGGUGAGUAACGCGUAGGAAUCUGCCUUCAAAUGGGGGAGUAACUGGCCGAAAGGCUAGCUAAUACCGCAUACGUGUGUAUCCCGACAGGGAUAUACAUAAAAGGAGCAAUCCGUUUGUAGAUGAGCCUGCGUCCGAUUAGCUAGUUGGUAGGGUAAUGGCCUACCAAGGCUCCGAUCGGUAGGUGGGUCUGAGAGGAUGAUCACCCACAAUGGGAC
rnacentral:rRNA from 1 species